rnacentral:rRNA from 1 species
AGCGAACGCUGGCGGCAGGCCUAACACAUGCAAGUCGAACGAACUCUUCGGAGUUAGUGGCGGACGGGUGAGUAACACGUGGGAACGUGCCUUUAGGUUCGGAAUAACUCAGGGAAACUUGUGCUAAUACCGAAUGUGCCCUUCGGGGAAAGAUUUAUCGCCUUUAGAGCGGCCCGCGUCUGAUUAGCUAGUUGGUGAGGUAAAGGCUCACCAAGGCUACGAUCAGUAGCUGGUCUGAGAGGAUGACCAGCCACAUUGGGACUGAGACACGGCCCAAACUCCUACGGGAGGCAGCAGUGGGGAAUCUUGCGCAAUGGGCGAAAGCCUGACGCAGCCAUGCCGCGUGGAUGAUGAAGGUCUUAGGAUUGUAAAAUCCUUUCACCGGUGAAGAUAAUGACUGUAGCCGGAGAAGAAGCCCCGGCUAACUUCGUGCCAGCAGCCGCGGUAAU